rnacentral:rRNA from 1 species
CGAAGGGGGCGAGCGUUGUUCGGAUUUACUGGGCGUAAAGGGCGCGCAGGCGGCUCAUUUUGUCAGGCGUGAAAGCCCCGGGCUUAACCUGGGAACUGCGUUUGAUACGGAUGGGCUAGAGUUCGGGAGAGGAGAGUGGAAUUCCCAGUGUAGAGGUGAAAUUCGUAGAUAUUGGGAAGAACACCGGUGGCGAAGGCGGCUCUCUGGACCGAUACUGACGCUGAGGCGCGAAAGCGUGGGGAGCAAACAGGAUUAGAUACCCUGGUAGUCCACGCUGUAAACGAUGUGUGCUAGACGUUGGGGAGCCUAGCUCUUCGGUGUCGCAGCUAACGCGGUAAGCACACCGCCUGGGGAGUACGGCCGCAAGGUUA